GUCUCAAAGCAUGUCCUACCUAUUCUUGUUCAACAUCUUCAUAUUCAAGAGGACAAUGUUUUUAUAACUGGAACAUUCACGUUCCUCAUACUCUUAAGCACGUACAUAAGGAAUAAUUUUAAUUUUGACGACGAUGCUGUCAAUGCUGAGGCUUUUAUUAAUAAAGCAUCAUUCUUGGUCAGCAGUAGUCAGCAUGAAGUACUCAAUUUAAAGUACAAGGUUUGCUAUGCAAGGAUCUUAGAUCUGAAGAGGAAGUUUUUGGAAGCAGCAUUACGCUAUUAUGAUAUAUCUCAAAUUGAGAAAAGGAAAAUAGGAGACGAGUAUGUAUCUUCGGGUGUAAUCUUUUCCUCAUUUUAGUUUUUUCAUAAUCAUUUUUGUGAGUGAAGAAUCUGCAUGCAUCUGAAUUCUGUCACUGUGCCUCCCUUUUCUGUAGUUGGAAGGGUAUCUUGUGUUUGCCUACAUAUUCUUCAGCUUAGAUUUGCUUUUGCAGUAACUAUUGUUGCAGAUAACAUAAUUUAGAGCUUGUCGUAAUUGAGAAAAUUAGGGAUUUAGUUUCAUAAAAUGUUCUGUAUUCAUUCUUUGAAUUUACUUUUAAUUACAAAAAUGACUCCCUGUUAUCAUU